CGGUGAGAAUCAAACAAGCCCUUAGUCUAGAUUUGCCACUGCAUCAUAUAGUUGUUUUGUACUCCUAUUUGAUAAUAUCUGUAUUUGGAUUUGAAAUAAAAUGUGGUAAGAUUCAACGUGAAUCCAUCCCUACAUGUGGUAUAGAUGUACGUAGGGGCGAACCCGGGUUGGCGCCCGGUGCUGACAGCAGAUGGGAGUACUACAAAGGUUGAGAGAGAGUGUGUGGAGUCAAAAGGGACCGUCUGGGACUGGGACGCAUAGUACAAAGGAUGGUGGUCGGCAUCAACGUCGUAACUCGAGCCCACCGUUCGCGUGCCAAUCUGCUUUUUCUCGUCUGGUCCCGAUCCGGACACAUUCAAGUCCUCACUCCAGUAGUCCAGUUUCAACUUUCGUCUUCACCACCACGCUGGCUGGCUGACCCCGGGGACUCCGAUCCGACUCCGACUCGGAGCUGGAGUUGGAGUCGCAACUCAGCAGCCUGUACAAUCUCCUGCUAACCUGACGGACGGGACCGCUAGUAGCCGUCGCACAAAGCAGUGUCCAGCAACUCGCUGCUGCAUCUGGCCGGCCAUGGCUGCUGCAAAGGCACAAGACGUCAAGACGAGCGAUCUCCCAAUAAUGCAAACCUGCAACUGAAGUAUAGCCAAUUUUUGGUCUCAGAAUUGUAACUGAAGCUAUGCUAGAUUAUUUCUUGCAACCUGCAAGUAAUUAACCUGGUGUUUCAUUGCAUCGUAUUCACAGGGGCAUGCCCGCAGACCGCAGUCAUCUACAGGAACUAGAGGCGAAGCCAACAAACAACAAAGAGGAAAACGGAGGAAGAAGAAGAAGAACAGAGCUACUGUACGAUACGACGGAAAGAAGACGGCGC
rnacentral:lncRNA from 1 species